rnacentral:rRNA from 1 species
UACAGAGGUCUCAAGCGUUGUUCGGAUUCAUUGGGCGUAAAGGGUGCGUAGGUGGCGCCGUAAGUCAGGUGUGAAAUUUCGGAGCUUAACUCCGAAACUGCAUUUGAUACUGCGGUGCUUGAGGACUGGAGAGGAGACUGGAAUUUACGGUGUAGCAGUGAAAUGCGCAGAUAUCAGGAGGAACACCGAUGGCGAAGGCAGCUCACUGGGACGGUACUGACGCUGAGGCGCGAAAGCGUGGGGAGCAAACAGG